rnacentral:lncRNA from 1 species
AGCCUCUCAGGCCCUUUAUGAAAUUGUGCAUGAUCUCUCAUUAAAUUGAAGUCGUAGGCACCCUUGCUUAUUUUAUGUUCAGUUAUAACAUGUUUUUUUUUGGUCGGAAGUUAUAACAUGUUUAUUUGGGAAAUAUGUCCACAUGGUUCUCUGGGCCAGAUAGCCCAUAUGAAAGUCUAGUAUACUUAAAUCAAAUUUUCCAUGAUAUGGUAAGACUUUAGGAACACAAGAGAGAUGGAUGGAGGAGGGAAGUAAUAUUAGUUUAGAUUGUUGCUUAAAUAACUUGAUACAGAAUUAAUAGGAGCUCUCUAUCGAUAGAGGAUGGAGACACUCAUAUAACGCUAACCAUCUUAUUCAAUAACUACCUAUCAACUAUUCCUGAGACAGCUUAAAAUAAUUCAACAAAAAGUGGUAAAUCUGCAUAUGCUAUGCAUUAUUGGUCUAAAUCACAAAGCAUAAUUAAACAUUACAAAUAUAUCAGUAUGCAAAGUGUUUCUAAAUGCUGCACGUUUGAAGGCAUCUGUAUGUCUUCUUUCCUUUCUACCAGAACAGCUAUAAUGAAUAUAUCAUCAUGAGGUAGGAAUUUUCCGAUCAGUUUUUUGCAUUCUCACUUGUAUUACUGAGCUGAAAAACUAACAUCAUGGAGUGUUUAGGAUGUUGGCGCAUACCUACAAAACACCAGGGCCUAAUCCUUUGCUGUGUGAACUCUGGUCCAGUUACAUUAGAAUGAUCCAUUUGCAUUUGUGGCGUGUAGUUUUGAUGGUCAUUAUUGCUGCUUUGGUUGUGAAUUGAGAUUUUGUCUAUGGAUGCACUAGUUCGAUUGACAGGCAACUGAUGAAUUGCGUCUUAAGAGAGAAGUAUUAUGUUUGCUAUUUCUUCGUGAUCUCGUAAUGUUGCAGCUGAGGAAUGUUAUUUAAGC